rnacentral:tRNA from 1 species
ACUCUAUUUAUGAUAGUAAUAAAAAACUCGCCGGGAUAGCUCAGU